GUGUCUGGUGGGUAGUUUGACUGGGGCGGUCUCCUCCUAAAGAGUAACGGAGGAGCACGAAGGUUGGCUAAUCCUGGUCGGACAUCAGGAGGUUAGUGCAAUGGCAUAAGCCAGCUUGACUGCGAGCGUGACGGCGCGAGCAGGUGCGAAAGCAGGUCAUAGUGAUCCGGUGGUUCUGAAUGGAAGGGCCAUCGCUCAACGGAUAAAAGGUACUCCGGGGAUAACAGGCUGAUACCGCCCAAGAGUUCAUAUCGACGGCGGUGUUUGGCACCUCGAUGUCGGCUCAUCACAUCCUGGGGCUGAAGUAGGUCCCAAGGGUAUGGCUGUUCGCCAUUUAAAGUGGUACGCGAGCUGGGUUUAGAACGUCGUGAGACAGUUCGGUCCCUAUCUGCCGUGGGCGCUGGAGAACUGAGGGGGGCUGCUCCUAGUACGAGAGGACCGGAGUGGACGCAUCACUGGUGUUCGGGUUGUCAUGCCAAUGGCACUGCCCGGUAGCUAAAUGCGGAAGAGAUAAGUGCUGAAAGCAUCUAAGCACGAAACUUGCCCCGAGAUGAGUUCUCCCUGAGACUACGAGUCUCCUGAAGGAACGUUGAAGACGACGACGUUGAUAGGCCGGGUGUGUAAGCGCAGCGAUGCGUUGAGCUAACCGGUACUAAUGAACCG
rnacentral:rRNA from 1 species